GCCUUGCCGCCACCUCCCCUCGCCUUGCCGCCUCGCCGCCUCGCCUCACCCCUCCUGCAGGCACCACAGCAUCCCUGUCUGGUGAGGAGGGCCAGUCCUCCAGUGGGGAAGUGGGAACUCAGGAAUGCCUGGCAUCUGAGCCUCCUCAGUGGGAAGAGGGUAAGGCAGAGGAGAAGGCAGUAGUGGAGUCAGAGGAAAAGGCAGCAGUAGAGUCUGACCAGGAAGAGCGUCUCAUUCCUCUCUCACAGAUGAUCCCAUACAUCUCCUGUUUUAUUUGCAAAGGCUACUUAAUAGAUGCGGCAACCAUUACAGAAUGUCUUCAUACUUUCUGUAAAAGCUGCAUCGUAAAACAUUUUGAGCACAGCAACAGAUGUCCAAAGUGCAACAUUAUAGUGCACCAGGCCAAACCUCAUAAAAACUUGAGGAUGGAUCCACAAUUACAAAGCAUAGUAUACAAAUUAGUGGCAGGUCUAGAGGAAAAUGAAAAAAAGCAGAGGCGUGAAUUUAAUAAAGAACAUUGUCUGGGACCACCAGAACCCGCUGCUGUUCCACAGCCAGGCCAUUCAAGUGAAGAGAACACUAAGGAAGUUGUGGAAUAGUGUCUUAAUUUAUGUGAACUGGUAUGUCUUUAGUACUGGAGUCUAUGGGUACUAAUGCAUACACUGAACAUGUUAAGCACUGAAAAUCCACGUUUAUCUGAGUCUCAGGAAAUGAAACCACUGGACAGAGAGAAACAUUUCUCAAAAGAACAACAAGCUUUGCUGCAGCUUGUCAAAUAGUCAUCACAUGCAGUGGUCAGUUGCUGAAGGACUUUCAAACU
rnacentral:lncRNA from 1 species